rnacentral:sRNA from 1 species
CCUUUACACUUAACUUGCCUUUGUGGGAUUGUGGAUACACGUUUGUCACUUUUUUUGCAACUUUUAGCAAUUCAGUUCAAGUUUCAUUUCAUACAUGCUGAAGUUUUUUUAUUGCGGAUGUUUGUUUAUUACGACACUGCAGGUUCGCACGAAAUGCGUUGAUAUUUUCCCUGAUACGACGAAGUCUUAUCGUUUUGUGCAUGAGAUCAGAUUACAUGGAAAUCGAAAUGAUACUGAGUUCCAGUUGGAGUUAAAACCAAAUUGCCGCCGCCAGCUUGGCUCUGUGUGGUUGCUGCAUUUCUUUGGCUCUAUGGGGCUACGUUGGUGAUUGAUAUGCCGAUGGAAUCUUGAAAUGUCUUUUGAGCGCAACGGCUACUGUGCAGAAACUUGGGUGUGGAUUAUUGUAGUCCAAAACAAGUUUAGCAUGAAGAUAUCUCUUACAGCCACCUGCAGAUGCAAAGAAAUAAAAAUUAAAUUGUCAUGUGAAAA